GAAAAAGGUUCCGGCCUCAGCCGGCGCACCUGGCGGAGGAGGAACCUCGCGACGCGCUCUCGGGCAUCGGUUUCUCCCAGCAAAGCUUGGAGGGUUUAGCUGCGCGGAGAGCUCAGCGAGCUCUUCUGUGUCUGUUUGGGGCGUGUGGGCUCCGGGAGCGUGAGGACCGGGAAGCUAGGAGGCUCCUUCCCUUCUGGCGGCUCCCUCACUGAGACCGGGCGGUUUGGUUGCGGGGGAAGUGGAGACGAGCCACCCUUGACCUUUGACUGCAAGAACUCACCUUGAGCAGGAUAGAGGCACGUGGACGGUGACCCUCGGGAUGCAAUAAAUGCUGAGACAGAUCAGGUGUGCAAGGCACAGAGCUAGAGGCCAGAGGCCUUUCUUCUCCAACCUUCAGUCACCUCUUUUUAAAGUGAAGCCAGCAUCCUCCUCGGGGUUUACUGUGAAAAUUAAGUGAGCUGACGCGUGCUGUGUUUUGAUGUUGCUUGGCUCCUACAAACAUUGAGUGGGCCAGACACUGUUCUGAAAAAUACGCAGUCGACUUUUGAACAGCACAGGCUUGAACUGCAUGCGGCCACUAAUACUCGGACUUCCUUCUGCCUCUGCCAUCCCUAAGACAGCAAGACCCACCCCUCCUGCUCCUCAGCCUACUCGAUGUGAUGAUGAUGCAGAGAUUCAGAGAGUCUAAGCAACUUUUCUAAAUCAUCUAGCUGGAAUUCAGUAACUGAGCCAGGAUCUACCCCAGGUCUGUCUGACUCCAAAGCCUGUGUCUUCCAGCACACACUGCUGCUGCCUGGGGAAUGUGGAUAUGAUGUCUGGAGCUCUAGCAACCAUAUCAGACCACAAGGAUGAAUGUACACCCCAGGAAUGGAAGAGAGGAAAGCCAGAAAAAGACUCGGUCCCUGAUGGCUGAAGAGCUACCAUACCUGCCCCUAGAUCUUCUAUUUCUGAUCAUCUUCUAUGCAAGGGGGCUUACCUUGGAGAAUGGCACCACCGUCUCAUCAGUUACUCAAGCCAUGAACCUGCUGCCAUAUUUGAGUCUUUCCCCUCCCUCGGAGCCUACAUCCGACUGCUCAGUGGUGUCUCGUGUCGUCCUUAUUUUGUCACUUGACAAGCAUUGGCUGAGUCCCUGCUGUGUGCCCUGCACUGCACUGGACAUUCAGAGUACAACACAGUCCCUAUAAUCAGGCUCUUGCAAUCCCGAGGGAUCAAGAUGCAAAGAUCGUUGAGUCCAUCAGCCCUACACCCUGCAUCUCCUGCUAUGGGAGCAGAGUGGGAAGGACACCAAGGCUUACAGAGGCUGUGCGCAAUCACGUGGCGUCAGCAGCAGAGCCCCGUGCCCAGGCACCUGGAAAUUGCAUCCAUCCCUGGACUGUGGUGGGUCCAUGGGGCUCAGGGUGGGGAUGGGGCUCCUUCCCGGACUUCACAGGGGUGGGCUCAGCCACCCCCGUGGGCUGUUUCAGCUCCAGCAUUCUCUGGGCCAAGAUUAAACGUUAAUUUGUAAUGGGGUCUGCUGAAGGUAUCUUCGGUUGCAGCCUCGAGGCAGAUUACUCCGGAAUCUCAGUGGAAUGAAUCAGAGGCCUGCUUUUGGCAGUAAGCAUCUGAAGCUUAACCAGGGAAAGAUGACAAUUUAUGCUGCGUCGAAGAGGACGAUAGCUUUCUUGUUUUACUGCCAGAAGAACACCAUGGGGUAGGGAUCUGAAGAUGGAAAACCAACGCUGUGUCGGCUGGAAAACUUUUGUUUUUAUUUAUGAGACUGAUUUGUAUAUGUUAAGGCCAAUUGGUAGAAAUUGGCCCAUUUGCAAAUUGGCAGACAGAGAAAAAUCUUGAUUUAGGACUAAAAGCAACGAAGCUAAGACAAUAAAAAGAGAAUCAUGUUCAUUAAGUUAAAAAAGCAGACUCCUAUUCAAGCUUUUUUUCCCUUAAAUUCUUAACUUCUCUAAUUGCAAAUGAGUUUGAGAUAGUUUACAGAGACGCAAUAUAAUAGGAUAAAAAUAAAUAGAUUAAGAAAUCAGGACAAAGGGAAAAUAAAGAAAGGAUAAUAGAAUAAAGCCAGAGAAAGAUAAUAAACAGAACUAUAUAUGAUACUCUUGGGAACAUUAAAAAUAAUAUUUAAAAAACUUUUAAAUUGAGGUAUAACGUGCAUAUAAGUAAGAAAGUCUUAAGUGUUUAGCUAGCUCAAUGAAGCUUGUGGCCCAAAAUUACCUGAGACAGGUCUCAACCAACUUAGAAAGUUUAUUUUGCCAAGGUUAACAGCCUCAGGAGGUCCUGACGACAUGUGUCCAUGAUGGUCCGGGUACGGCUUGCUUUUAUACAUUUUAGGGAGACAUAAUACAUCAAUCAAUACAUGUAAGAUUUACAUUGGUUUGAUCUGGAAGGAGGGUACAAUUUCAACUGGGAUGGGGGGCACUUCCUGGUCAUAGGUAGAUUUAAAAUGUUUCUACCUGGCAAUUGGUUGAAAGAGUUACUAUCAAUAGAAAGGAAUGUGUGGGUUAUACUAAGGGGUUGCGAAGGCCAAGGCUUUAUCAUGCAGCUGAAGCCUCCAAGUAGCAGGCUUCAGAGAGAAGAGUUUGUAAAUGUUUCUUGUCAGACCUAAGGUCUGUGUUGAUGAUAAUGCUGGAGGGUAGAUGAGGCAGGUCCGAUCCUCUCUUCCAUCGUGUCCUGAACUCGUUUUUCAGGUUGACUCUGGAAUGGCCUUGGCCAAGAGGAGGGGUCCCCAUUCACAUGGUUGAUGGGAGGCCUUAGAAUUUUAGUUUUGGUUUACAGGUUUUACAUGUGUGGCCAACAGGUGACCACCACCAAUAAAGAUAUAGAACCCUUGUAGAUUCUAUUAGGCUUCCCCUUCUCAUCAGCACCUCAGAAGAGGUGGCCACUACUCCAACUUUUCUCACCAUAUAUUAGUUCUGCCUGCUCUUAAGCCUUCAUGUAAAUUGGAUUACAUGGUAAAUACUCCUUUGUAUCUAUCUCCCUUCACUAUUACAUCUGUGAGUUUCACUCACGUUAUUGUAGGCAGCUGUACCCUCCUCUCCCUCACUGCUGCAUAGUACU
rnacentral:lncRNA from 1 species